AUUGAACACUGGCGGCAGGCUUAACACAUGCAAGUCGAGCGGAGAUGAGGUGCUCGCACCUUAUCUUAGCGGCGGACGGGUGAGUAAUGCUUAGGAAUCUGCCUAUUAGUGGGGGACAACAUUCCGAAAGGAAUGCUGAUACCGCAUACGCCCUACGGGGGAAAGCAGGGGAUCUUCGGACCUUGCGCUAAUAGAUGAGCCUAAGUCGGAUUAGCUAGUUGGUGGGGUAAAGGCCUACCAAGGCGACGAUCUGUAGCGGGUCUGAGAGGAUGAUCCGCCACACUGGGACUGAGACACGGCCCAGACUCCUACGGGAGGCAGCAGUGGGGAAUAUUGGACAAUGGGCGGAAGCCUGAUCCAGCCAUGCCGCGUGUGUGAAGAAGGCCUUUUGGUUGUAAAGCACUUUAAGCGAGGAGGAGGCUACCUGGAUUAAUACUCUAGGAUAGUGGACGUUACUCGCAGAAUAAGCACCGGCUAACUCUGUGCCAGCCGCCGCAGUAACAC
rnacentral:rRNA from 1 species